UACAGGGGGUGCAAACGUUGCUCGGAAUUAUUGGGCGUAAAGCGCGCGUAGGCGGCCACUUAAGUCGGAUGUGAAAGCCCCUGGCUCAACUGGGGAAGUGCACCCGAAACUGAGCGGCUUGAAUGCAAAAGGGGGUCGCGGAAUUCCCGGUGUAGAGGUGAAAUUCGUAGAUAUCGGGAGGAACAUCUGUGGCGAAGGCGACACCCUGGACCAGCACUGACACUGAGGCACGAAAGCGUGGGGAGCAAACAGG
rnacentral:rRNA from 1 species